rnacentral:lncRNA from 1 species
GAUAAUCUCUUUUUUAUUUUACUUUUUUUAUGGUCUGAAUGAACCUGAGGAGGAUAUAUAGGGGAGUUUCAUGCUUUUGUAAUCUUGUUGUCAAGAAUCAGGGCAAGACAAAGCAAUGACUUAGAAAAUGCUCAGCUCAGAAGAGAUUGCAGUGAUAUCAGAUCUGAUUGCAGCAGUGCUUUAGCUUUUAGCCUUUGAAAGAGAAAUCACUAUUUUUCGGUUUUCAGUGCGCCAUUUGCAUUGGUCUUGUCAACCAAAAAGAAGGUGGCCCCAAGUGCUGAAAUAAAAAAAGAAAGUGAUUUUGAAAUGAUUUCACAAUUAUUAGCAUGAGUCUGAACCAAAUUAUUGAGUUGGCUAAGGUUUAAGGGGUAGUAUUCAACCCAAUUUUUUAGUUUACUAUUUCACUCCUUGUGUUAAUCUCUAUUCCAAUCUUUGUUAAUUUUCUCCUUGUGUGUAAUUUAAUUACAAAACUGUGUGUUUGGAGAGCGGAUUACUUGGGAUAAUUUUUUAAAAAAAAAAACAGUAGCUUUUUUUUUUAAAAAAAUUUUGAUGUAUAUAAAAUAAAAAAGUGGUUGAAAAAUAUGUUGAUAAUGUAAAAAAAUAAAUUUCUAUAAAUAAUUCACUAUCAAAAUACAAUGAUAUUUUCUGAAUAUAUCAUGUGAUAUAUCUCAUUUGGGGAGAUAAAAAUUGGAGUAGAAAUUCGAAUAUACCCCCA